CUGGGCGUAAAGAGCUUGUAGGCGGUUUGUCGCGUCGUCUGUGAAAUUCUGCAACUCAAUUGUAGGCGUGCAGGCGAUACGGGCAGACUUGAGUACUACAGGGGAGACUGGAAUUCCUGGUGUAGCGGUGAAAUGCGCAGAUAUCAGGAGGAACACCGGUGGCGAAGGCGGGUCUYUGGGUAGUAACUGACGCUGAGGAGCGAAAGCGUGGGUAGCGAACAGGAUUAGAUACCCUGGUAGUCCACGCCGUAAACGGUGGGUACUAGGUGUGGGUUCCUUUUCACGGGAUCCGUGCCGUAGCUAACGCAUUAAGUACCCCGCCUGGGGAGUACGGCCGCAAGGCUAAAACUCAAAGGAAUUGACGGGGGCCCGCACAAGCGGCGGAGCAUGUGGAUUAAUUCGAUGCAACGCGAAGAACCUUACCUGGGUUUGACAUACACCAGACGCCGGCAGAGAUGYCGGUUCCCUUGUGGYUGGUGUACAGGUGGUGCAUGGC
rnacentral:rRNA from 1 species